GCUCUAGAAUUUUAAUUGCAUUACAAAUCCACAUCUUGCCUAUUCUCUGCAGGCUUAUACGUUUUGUCUCUGGUUUGAGCUUUGAGUUUGUUUUUCUUGUAUUAAUAUGGAGAUCCCAGUGAUCAACAGAAUUGGCGAUUUCGAAGCUGGCAUAACCUCCCUACAAAACCCAUCUUUUCCUUCUCAGGUUUUUGCUUUAUCUAGGGUCGAAAAGAUUCACCAGGCUUACAGUUUUUGUAAAUGGGGAGCUUUGAUUGUUGCCCUAGUCGCUUCUUUUUCCACCAUAAUCAAUAGA
rnacentral:misc_RNA from 1 species